rnacentral:rRNA from 1 species
UUAAACGCGCUUGGGCUAGAGUAGUACUGGGAUGGGUGACCUCCUGGGAAGUCCUAGUGUUGCACCUU